AUCUUUGCGCAGUGGCAGUAUCAUAGCCUGUGAGGUGGAACUGAGGCAUGAUUGUUGCUACUUGAAAACUUUUCCCAAUACCCUGCUCUGAUGGCUUGAAAUACAGCUUUCAUGAGCAAUUUUUGGCAGCCUCUGCUGAGG
ensembl:snRNA U4 U4 spliceosomal RNA